rnacentral:rRNA from 1 species
UGAGUAACACGUAUCCAAUCUGCCGUCUACUCUUGGACAGCCUUCUGAAAGGAAGAUUAAUACAAGAUGGCAUCAUGAGUUCACAUGUUCACAUGAUUAAAGGUAUUCCGGUAGACGAUGGGGAUGCGUUCCAUUAGAUAGUAGGCGGGGUAACGGCCCACCUAGUCUUCGAUGGAUAGGGGUUCUGAGAGGAAGGUCCCCCACAUUGGAACUGAGACACGGUCCAA